AUUGCCAGCGAGCUUUUUGGCGUCAAGGAGCGCUUUCUUUUUGUCGUCGUCGGGUAAGAACGACGAGUUCCCAUAAGUCGGUUUGGUGGAUGAAAAAUCUGCUGCAGUGGAGAUGGAGGGGGAGGUGGGUUGCGAAGGGUCGCAGAGGCAGUGGAGAAGGUUCGAAGAGAAAAAAAAAGGAUUGUGGCACAGCCUCGAUGGAAUCAGAGGCGAGGAGGGCGGG
rnacentral:lncRNA from 1 species